rnacentral:rRNA from 1 species
UGGGGAAUAUUGGACAAUGGGGGGAACCCUGAUCCAGCCAUGCCGCGUGUGUGAAGAAGGCCUUAUGGUUGUAAAGCACUUUAGGCGAGGAGGAGGGUACUGGUAUUAAUACUACCAGGUACUGGACGUUACUCACAGAAUAAGCACCGGCUAACUCUGUGCCAGCAGCCGCGGUAAUACAGAGGGUGCGAGCGUUAAUCGGAUUUACUGGGCGUAAAGCGUGCGUAGGCGGCUAAUUGAAUCGGAUGUGAAAUCCCCGAGCUUAACUUAGGAAUUGCAUUCGAUACUGGUUAGCUAGAGUGUGGGAGAGGAUGGUAGAAUUCCAGGUGUAGCGGUGAAAUGCGUAGAGAUCUGGAGGAAUACCGAUGGCGAAGGCAGCCAUCUGGCCUAACACUGACGCUGAGGUACGAAAGCAUGGGGAGCAAACAGG